rnacentral:rRNA from 1 species
AACGUAGGAGGCAAGCGUUAUCCGGAAUUACUGGGCGUAAAGGGCGUGGAGGCGGUAUGGCAAGCCGGAUGUGAAAGCUCCUGGCUCAACUGGGAGAGUGCGUUCCGAACUGCCGAACUAGAGGCCAGGCGAUGGGGGUGGAAUUCCCGGUGGAGUGGUGAAAUGCGUAGAGAUCGGGAGGAACACCAGUGGCGCAAGCGGCCCCCAGGCCUGAGCCUGACGCUGAAGCGCGACAGCGUGGGGAGCAAACAGG